UGUGGACCGCCUAAGAGAAUUAGGCUGGAAUACUAUUAAUAGCACAUAUGACUUGGUGCUAUUAAAUAUUUUGCCUUUUGAUUAAAAAAAUGUGCAGUUAGAAUGACGUGGGCCCUCAAAGAUUGAGUGGGUAGUUAGUUAAAUAAUAUAAUCGAACGGAUGAAAAAUAAUAAAAAAGGUAAAUCUAACGGCAAAAAACUUAAUAGCAUCAAAUGUUUCGUGCUAUUGAUAGUAUUCUAGCCAGACUAUCUACACUAUAUAUAAAAGUACGUAUUUUAAAUUUCGGUAGGUCGACAGACCCAUUUUUGGCGGAAAUUGAAAAAAAAAAAUUGAUUCCUCUUUUGUUACGUACAAUAAAUAACAGAAUUGAACAAACUUUUAAUUCCUCUUUAUUUCUACAACAGAAAAAAAUUUUAUGCUUAUCUAAAUUUUUGCCUACAACAGAAAAAAAAAUUAUGCUUAUCUAAAUUUUUACCAACCGAAAAAUAUCUACUAUGAAUCUAUAUUUUAAUUAGAAAUUUGUUUAUUUUUUUUAUCUCUAAAAUAGAAAAAAAUUAUGCUUAUCCAAGAAUAUAUUGUAGAUAUUUUCUAAUAAAAUAUAACAUAUAAAUUUACAAAAUAUUUUUAUUCUAAAUUCUUAAAUCAAUAUGAUUUAUAAUUUUUUAUUAAUUUAAAAUAAAUUAAAAUAAUUGUUACGUGCAUUGGUACGUACACUCAACUAGUAUAUAUAAAAGCACAUAUUUUAAAUUUCGGUCUGUCGACAGACCCAUUUUUUGGCAGGAAUUGAAAAAAAAUUGAUUGCUCUUUUGUUACGUAAAAUAAAUAACAGAAUUGAACAAACUUUUAAUUCCUCUUUAUUUCUACAACAGAAAAAAAAAUUUUUGCCUACAAUAGAAAAACAAAUUUAUGCUUAUCUAAAUUUUUACCAACCGGAAAAUAUCUACUAUAAGUCUAUAUUUUAAUUCAAAAUUUAUUUAAUUCUUUUUUUAUCUCUAUCUAUAAUAUAAUAUCUACACUAUCUAUACUAUAUAUAAAAUCACGUAUUUUAAAAUAGUAAAAAAAUAUAUUUAUCCAAAUUUUUGCUAACCGAAAAAUAUCUACUAUGAAUCUAUAUUUUAAUUAGAAAUUUGUUUAUUUUUUUU
rnacentral:lncRNA from 1 species